AUACGGAGGGUGCAAGCGUUAAUCGGAAUUACUGGGCAUAAAGAGUACGUAGGUGGUUUGUUAAGUCAGAUGUGAAAGCCCCGGGCUCAACCUGGGAACUGCAUUUGAAACUGGCAAACUAGAGUAUGGUAGAGGGGGGUAGAAUUUCUAGUGUAGCGGUGAAAUGCGUAGAUAUUAGAAGGAAUACCAGUGGCGAAGGCGGCCCCCUGGACCAAUACUGACACUGAGGUACGAAAGCGUGGGUAGCGAACAGGAUUAGAAACCCCAGUAGUCC
rnacentral:rRNA from 1 species